rnacentral:lncRNA from 12 species
UUUAUUUUACAAUAAAUUGGUCUUAUUUUGUUAAAGAAUAGAAUAAAAGCAAGGUGUACAAAAUUAAAACUGAUAAGAAUAAGCAGAUAUUUCAUUAAAGUAACCAACUACAAGUAAAAACACAUAUUUUCCACAUAUUUGUAAUAAAUUGGAAAAUACAGGAGGAAGGGAAUAUAAUACUCUUUUAAAACUUCAAAUAGGGGUACCUGGGUGGCUCAGUGGUUGAGCUGCUGCCUUUGGCUGGGGUUGUGAUCCUGGGGUCCUGGGAUCAAGUCCUAUAUCAGGGUCCCUGCAGGGAGCCUGUUUCUCCCUCUGCCUGUGUCUCUGCCUCUCUCUCUGUGUCUCAUGAAUAAGUAAAUGAAUUGAAUCUUUCUAAAAAAGUCAAAUAAAAAAUGUAAUUACAUGGGAAAAAAAAGAACUACUGAGAGACAAAAAACAUUGAGAAGUGGAGACCUGGCCUGCAUUAUUUAAUGGGGAGAUGAUAUUGGAAAAUGCCAUAUCCCUCAAUUGCAUGACAACUUAGCAAACAAGAGAGAGCUAGAUCAUCAGAGAUACUGGCACCCAGACCAGGGGAAGGGCUGUACACAGUCUCUGCCAUCACAAUGAAGUUCAGGGAGCAUCUUUGAUGUUCUAAAUGUGUUGCCAUGGCAAAAUCCUUAGCCCUGCUCUCCAUGUACAAAUGUUAAGGCUUGAGUAAAUUAUUAUUUUUUUAGCUGAGUCAAAUUUACUUACUUGUGAAAUGGGAAACAUGAACCAUUUACUUUACAGGCUUAUUUUGAGAGUCCAUCAGUGCGACAGGCAUGGAAGAACUUGGUAAAACUAUAAAAGAACUCUGUAGAAGUUACUGCUCUAUCUGCCUGAAGUACAGAAAUCUGGAGUCCCUGAUGGUCGGGAUUUGGGGAGCUGUGUUUGCCCUGGAGAAGACUUGCAGUGCCCCCUGGAUCACAGUUAAGCAGCUGGGUGCUGCUUCUUUCUUAGAGCAGCUCUGGAUGUUUGGCAUAUUUCUUCAGAUUUGACUUACAAAGCAUUAGGAAAAUAUGACUAUAACCAUGCCAUAUUUGAAAUGAAUUCAUUGCCCUACCUUCUUUAGACUGGCCUAAUCUAGUUACUCUGAAUGAUUUAAGAAAUUGUACAUUUUUUUUUCAGUGUAUUUUGGUGUGUUUUUGCUGAGUUUGCAAUUGGACAUGAAUUCUGAGCUACUGAGUAAAAGCACAAUAACUGCCUUUAUCCUUCUACACUUCAAUGGACAUGUAGAUAUGGCCAGUUGCCUCUCCAGUAGAUUCUAAUAAAACAAUGCUUUUUCUUGUGAAUUCA